GCAGGGGUAGCCAAGCGGUCAAAGGCGCAGGGUUUAGGACCCUGUCCCUUAGUGGGUUCAUGGGUUCAAAUCCCAUCCCCUGCA
rnacentral:tRNA from 1 species